rnacentral:lncRNA from 1 species
CAGCGGGGCUUGAACACAGGCCCGCGGCUGGGUCGUCCUGGGAGAGCCUGGUCCCCGAGAGCCUUGGCAGGUCCUGUCAUCGCCCCACCCCGCACAGGAGAUGCUGGACAAAGGCAGGCACCCCUGAGACCCAGGACGGCACCACCCACGGGAGCCACUCGCUCCUGGAGCCCAAUGCCCAGGGCGUACCCCUCACCGAACCACACGCAGUCCUCCGAACAAAGCCGGCGAGUGGCAACAGAGACUUGCAUGCCUUCCUUGCGCCUGAGGCCCUUCUAGGCAACGGGAGGUCUCCGCAUCUCUGUACCAAGGCCAAGUCGUCCAGCUGACACGCCCCUCAGUCCCUCAGGCCCUUCUAGGCAGCCGGAGGUCUCAGCAUCUCUGUGCCCCAGGGCUGAGCUGUCCAGGUUCCUUAGAAGCUCUGAAGCGCUGCAGAUGCCCUGGCUUCCAGACAUCACUAUUAUUAACUCGGUGGACAGUCGUGGAGAGUUCAGCCAAGGCCUCAGGUAGCACGGGGAGAGAAACCAAUAGCCUGGUCAGCCAGGCCUCUUCCGGAUACUGGGCUUCUCAGAGACAACCCCUAGCCUCACAGUCAGAUUCGGCUAUUUAUUGCAGCAGGUGAAAAUACAUAAUGUUAGGACACCACCAACAGACCAAGAAUUACAGGAAAAUACAUGAGAGAUUCCUUAUAAGAACAUGGACGAGUCAGGGGCAGCAUCAUCACUGGAAACCACACUCUAGCAUGGACAGAUGGAGUAAUCUGUGAACUCUCCGAGAGUACACAAGAGCACAGGACACUUUCCUGCGGUCCUUACUGUGCCGAGUGCUAAGCGGCAGGUCUCGCUGCACGUCUAAUCUGCGAGCUCGCGUGGGGCUCACUCCAGAGUCACGGUCCUGCCUCGGUAGCCGCUCACCUGGCCGCGUCUGCCCCGUGCAGCGCUGACGCACGGGAGCCAACAACUCGAGCCGACCCCAAGCCGAGCGACCACAACACGAGGACGACGCGGCUCCGCCUCGGGUAAGCACCCCGGCACCGCCCGCGUCGCGGCCCGAGUGCGGGCCGCACUUUCCACCGCGUCGCCACCGUCAUGCGUGACGGCUCAACGGCCCCACACACCUCCAGGACACUAGGAAAUGGCAACGACGGCGGGACGGGAAGCAUGAGAGCAUCACUUCCGGUACCUCCUGGAUUCCGGAAGUCUUGGUUGCCAAGAGAAACAACAUUCUUACUCCAGGAUGACACGAGCUUCCCCCUCUACCCUGUUCUGCUGUCAGGAGGUCCAGCAUCCUUCUAUUUCGUAGUACAACCCUGGGAGUGGUGGUCAUCUGUAUCUGGGGAAUAAUUAUAACAGGAAUGCUGAGGUAGGGGCCCCUCAAAGAGGGGGACCUCCUAUGAGGGUUUAUUAAAGGAGAAACCUGGGUCUGAGGAGGAACCAUGCGAGGUAGCAUGAACAGGAGUCAUUACUAAGAGGGGAUCCAAAAGGGAUGCACAGAAAAAACAUAGAGAGGCAUUUUAGAUGGGAUGUGAGGAGCAAUAAUAGAUCAGAAGCGCAUUGAACAUGUUGUAGCCAGGAUUGGGCAUUUCUUCUCAGUUGUAUUUCCUGUUCAAGAAUGGUUUUAUGGGUUCAUGUGGACUGCUCCAGGUAUCGAGAGAUAUGAGCAGAGGGGCAUGCAGCGCAACUGGUGGGAUAUAGCUUCCCCAUGAUUCCCAUUCUCCAUAUUUCAUCCCAGGGGUCAUCUAUAACAAUGAGACAGUUAUUCAGGUUUUGAAAUAGGCUAUUUCUUUCUUUCUUCUUUAUGUAAAACCAUCAAUUUGUAUUUAUUUAAUAUACAUUGUAAGGGUUCAAGCAGACUU